GAGGCGCCACACCCUGCCCCGGGCAGCCAUCGUGCUGGAACAUCACCGGCCAGGUCAGCACUGGCGGCUGGGAGAAGGGUCCAAGGCUGAGGUACAGCCAACAAUUUUCGCAACUCUGGCGAAAUCAGCAAAGUGGGCAGUGCAGGUUGGCUGGACGUCUGCCCCCAACACAUGUGCACUCCGUGCACCCCUCCCUGCGGGGGGCACCCCUAACGAUUGGUCCUCGCCUCUACCCGCCCGGCCGGCACGCAGGACAGACCACCUUCCAGCUGUGCCUGCUCUCGCUCGCCACCCUCUGCCGGGGUGUGUCCCGGGCCCCUGCGCUCCUCCCCGCCUCCCUUGACUCAGACUGGGCUACCGUGGAGAAUGUUAAUAAAAUGAAGUUUGGGGUUUU